rnacentral:rRNA from 1 species
UGAGGAAUAUUGGUCAAUGGACGAGAGUCUGAACCAGCCAAGUAGCGUGAAGGAUGAAGGUCCUACGGAUUGUAAACUUCUUUUAUAAGGGAAUAAACCCUCCCACGUGUGGGAGCUUGUAUGUACCUUAUGAAUAAGCAUCGGCUAACUCCGUGCCAGCAGCCGCGGUAAUACGGAGGAUGCGAGCGUUAUCCGGAUUUAUUGGGUUUAAAGGGAGCGCAGACGGGUCGUUAAGUCAGCUGUGAAAGUUUGGGGCUCAACCUUAAAAUUGCAGUUGAUACUGGCGUCCUUGAGUGCGGUUGAGGUGUGCGGAAUUCGUGGUGUAGCGGUGAAAUGCUUAGAUAUCACGAAGAACUCCGAUUGCGAAGGCAGCACACUAAUCCGUAACUGACGUUCAUGCUCGAAAGUGUGGGUAUCAAACAGGAUUAGAUACCCUGGUAGUCCACACGGUAAACGAUGGAUACUCGCUGUUGGCGAUAUACUGUCAGCGGCUUAGCGAAAGCGUUAAGUAUCCCACCUGGGGAGUACGCCGGCAACGGUGAAACUCAAAGGAAUUGACGGGGGCCCGCACAAGCGGAGGAACAUGUGGUUUAAUUCGAUGAUACGCGAGGAACCUUACCCGGGCUUAAAUUGCAAAGGAAUAAUCUGGAAACAGGUUAGUCUUCGGACCUUUGUGAAGGUGCUGCAUGGUUGUCGUCAGCUCGUGCCGUGAGGUGUCGGCUUAAGUGCCAUAACGAGCGCAACCCUUAUCACUAGUUACUAACAGGUGAAGCUGAGGACUCUGGUGAGACUGCCAUCGUAAGAUGUGAGGAAGGUGGGGAUGACGUCAAAUCAGCACGGCCCUUACGUCCGGGGCUACACACGUGUUACAAUGGGCGGUACAGAAGGCAGCUACCUGGCGACAGGAUGCCAAUCCCUAAAGCCGCUCUCAGUUCGGACUGGAGUCUGCAACCCGACUCCACGAAGCUGGAUUCGCUAGUAAUCGCAGAUCAGAAUGCUGCGGUGAAUACGUUCCC